rnacentral:rRNA from 1 species
AGAGAGAGACAUGCGCGCAUAUCAAUAAGCGGAGGAAAAGAAACUAACAAGGAUUCCCUUAGUAACGGCGAGUGAAGCGGGAAGAGCUCAAAUUUGAAAUCUUCAAGGUUCUACCUUGACGAAUUGUAGUUUAUAGAAGUGUUUUCUGUUAGUGGAGUGGCAAAAGUUCUUUGGAAUAGGACAUCAUAGAGGGUGAGAAUCCCGUAUUUGGUCAUUCCUCCUAGCGUUGUGAUACACUUUCAACGAGUCGGAUUGUUUGGGAAUGCAGUCCAAAAUGGGUGGUAAAUUUCAUCUAAAGCUAAAUAUUGGCGAGAGACCGAUAGCGAACAAGUACCGUGAGGGAAAGAUGAAAAGAACUUUGAAAAGAGAGUUAAACAGUACGUGAAAUUGUCAAAAGGGAAGCGUUUGACACCAGUGUUGUUUUUCCGAAAAUCAAUUACGAAUGUUUUAUUUUUGAGGAGUUAUGACUUCAUCGGCUUGCUCCUUUCUUUACUGAAACCUUCUUAAUGCACUUUUCGGUUAACAAGUCAACAUCAAUUUCUUUUGUUGUAAAAGGGUAUGAGGAAGGUGGCUUUCUUUUCGGAGAAAGUGUUUAUAGCCUUGUGCCUCUGCAAUCGGAGAGAUUGAGGUCUGCAGCGUAGAUCCUUCGGGGUUAGAUACGUUUGUGCUAAAUUAUAGCUUUUCAUAGACAACUUGUUGACUAUGUUUAGUCUUGUAGCUUACUCGCUGAUGCUAUUUUACCUACGCUUAGGAUGUUGAUAGUCACAGCGUGUAC